rnacentral:rRNA from 1 species
AUUGAACGCUGGCGGCAUGCCUUACACAUGCAAGUCGAACGGUAACAGGUCUUCGGAUGCUGACGAGUGGCGAACGGGUGAGUAAUACAUCGGAACGUGCCUAGUAGUGGGGGAUAACUACUCGAAAGAGUGGCUAAUACCGCAUGAGAUCUACGGAUGAAAGCAGGGGAUUGCAAGACCUUGUGCUACUAGAGCGGCCGAUGGCAGAUUAGGUAGUUGGUGGGAUAAAAGCUUACCAAGCCGACGAUCUGUAGCUGGUCUGAGAGGACGAUCAGCCACACUGGGACUGAGACACGGCCCAGACUCCUACGGGAGGCAGCAGUGGGGAAUUUUGGACAAUGGGCGCAAGCCUGAGCCAGCAAUGCCGCGUGCAGGAUGAAGGCCUUCGGGUUGUAAACUGCUUUUGUACGGAACGAAAAGCCCUGGGUUAAUACCCUGGGGUCAUGACGGUACCGUAAGAAUAAGCACCGGCUAACUACGUGCCAGCCGCCGCCGUAA